rnacentral:rRNA from 1 species
UACAGAGGUGCCGAGCGUUAGGCGGAAUCACUGGGCUUAAAGCGUGUGUAGGCGGUGCACUAAGUCAGGCGUGAAAGCCCUGGGCUCAACCCGGGAAUUGCGUUUGAUACUGGUGCGCUUGAAUCCAGGAGAGGUUGGUGGAAUUCCCAGUGUAGAGGUGAAAUUCGUAGAGAUUGGGAAGAACACCGGUGGCGAAGGCGGCCAACUGGACUGGUAUUGACGCUGAGGCGCGAAAGCGUGGGGAGCAAACAGG